CCCCCCAAAAAAAAAAAAAGAAAGCAAGAAAUGGCUAUUACUACCGCUAAAACUCAAAAGUCACAAUUUGGGCAACAUUUCCCCGUCGAUCUUUUCCCCUUCUGCCCUUCACUGGCAGCUUCUGCUCCAGCUGCAGGAGCACCCGCCGGCCCGCGCACCCCAGGUACGUCACAGCUUCCCCGGGGAGCUGGCACCAUCCUACCCCCUGGCACCUGCCUACGCCAAGGCCCUGCCUGGCUCAGGAGCACGAGCCCUGCAAGUAACUCCCCUGCCUGAAGAUAAAAGAUGCUGUCUUACAUUUCUAGUUGCUUUGAACAUCCCAGGCUACAAAAGCAUAGAUUUCUCAAACAGUAUCUUCUGGUUCCACCUUAGGUGCUUGAAAAGAAUAAAUAGGAGUAGAGCAAAGAAUAUAGGAAAAUCCCUGUUAGGUGUUUUCUGGGUGCGCAGAGGGACAGCUCUGGGCAUUAGCAGUAAAAUGAGUUUACUUUCCUCUUGGAAAUUCCAGCAGUGGAUUCUGACUAUGUUGCUGCCACAGCAACUGCCCCUGAAACCAGAGCAUCCUGCCUACCGGCGAGCAGGCAGCGUCUUCCGGCCGCACGGACUGCGGGGCCGGUACUCUUACCAACACCCGGAACCGCUUUGCCUUCGUAGGGUUUUCUAACUCUGUACGGUGCUCUCUGAUCUGCUACAUCCCUAUGUAGAAACCGAAACCGAUGAUCUUAUAUGAGUACUGACUCACUUUGCAUGGAAAUAAUGUCACAUGAUGCCCAUGCUGAAGCUCAACGCUCUCACCCACUCUGCAGAAUAACGUUUUACCCCUAUAUCAUGUUUUAUAGCUAUUGGCAAAAGUUAGCCAACAUCCAACUGUGGCAGGAAAAUGCUAUUAACCUUUUUUCGCAUUAGGGAACAAAAACAAGUUAAAUGACACGGAAAGGCUGCGGAAAGAUUCAGCUUCAGAUCUGGAAGCAGAAUUCAGGAUUUCUUGGAUCUCAGAUCCAGCCAGGAUCCCUGCCCAUCCCUGAGCGGCUCCAGAGAGAUUCCCGCACUUCUUUUAAAUCCACAUUGAUCGACCUGUCAAACGUGACCCGAAGAUUUACCUCCCUCCAUGCAGCUGAUGCUUUUCUUUCCAAUAUCUUAUUGG
rnacentral:lncRNA from 1 species